rnacentral:tRNA from 1 species
GGAGAGGUGGCUGAGCGGUUGAAAGCAGCGACCUGCUAAGUCGUUGAACCUGAAAGGGUUCCGAGGGUUCGAAUCCCUCCCUCUCCG